UGUACUCAGCAGGCAUGACCGGU
rnacentral:siRNA from 1 species